CCCUUUAUUCAGAUCAACAUGUAGAUCACGUCUCUCUCUCACAUGCACCAGAUCCAGAGCAUCCCGACCCCUGCAUGUUCCCGAUUCAUCCCCGCAGCCGGUGCCCCCGGCCCCAAGCCCCGGCGACUCCGGCUCUGUGCCCCCGCGCCCUGGUCAGUGUCUUCGUACCCGAGAAGCAUUUAAAAGAUGAAUUUACAACCUUGAAGGCUGAACAACAUCAGUAGUAAUUGAAGAAUGAUGUUCUUUGGGAGUUGAGGAAAGAACAUCAGUCUGCAAAGUGAGAUCAAUGGCGGGAGUUCUGUAUUGGUCAGAGAAAGAGGACGAGAAGAAAGAAGGCUUGGGCAUGAGUGGGUAUUGGGUGGCGGCGGCCUUCAAGUACCUGCCCCAUGGCACUUCACUCUAUAGUCGUGGCAAGUAUGAUGAUCUGAAGCACCCAGAAGAAGUAGAGGACAUGACUGGAGGAGGGAACAAAAAGCACUAUUUUGUUGUGCCCUUCUAAUUGUUUGUUGGGCCCUUUUGCUGUACACCUGCACUUGUAGAACUAUUUUGGUGUGCACUUGUUGGGCCUUGAACCUUUAUGUGUAGAGGAGUCGAUGGAUGAUGUAUUAUAAUUCAUGUGAUGUGCUACUGAAAUGAAAUAUAUAGAACUACUUUGCAAUCU